AAGAGGAGAAUGCUGAGACAGAGAAGAGAGAUGAAGGAAGAGACUGUCUGGCUUUGAGAUAGAUGAACACUGUGAAUUUCUGACAUCCACUCUCCAAUCAACUGACUCAUCUCUGAGAGAGCUGGGACAUGAGGAAUGGCACACUGGUGGAUGACCUCAAA